AUUGAACGCUGGCGGCAGGCCUAACACAUGCAAGUCGAGCGGAUGAAGGGAGCUUGCUCCUGGAUUCAGCGGCGGACGGGUGAGUAAUGCCUAGGAAUCUGCCUGGUAGUGGGGGAUAACGUCCGGAAACGGGCGCUAAUACCGCAUACGUCCUGAGGGAGAAAGUGGGGGAUCUUCGGACCUCACGCUAUCAGAUGAGCCUAGGUCGGAUUAGCUAGUUGGUGGGGUAAAGGCCUACCAAGGCGACGAUCCGUAACUGGUCUGAGAGGAUGAUCAGUCACACUGGAACUGAGACACGGUCCAGACUCCGACGGGAGGCAGCAGUGGGGAAUAUUGGACAAUGGGCGAAAGCCUGAUCCAGCCAUGCCGCGUGUGUGAAGAAGGUCUUCGGAUUGUAAAGCACUUUGAGUUGGGAGGAAGGGCAGUAAGUUAAUACCUGGCUGUUUUGACGUUACCAACAGAAUAAGCACCGGCUAACUUCGU
rnacentral:rRNA from 1 species